AGAGUUUGAUCAUGGCUCAGAUUGAACGCUGGCGGCAGGCCUAACACAUGCAAGUCGAGCGGAUGAAGGGAGCUUGCUCCUGGAUUCAGCGGCGGACGGGUGAGUAAUGCCUAGGAAUCUGCCUGGUAGUGGGGGAUAACGUCCGGAAACGGGCGCUAAUACCGCAUACGUCCUGAGGGAGAAAGUGGGGGAUCUUCGGACCUCACGCUAUCAGAUGAGCCUAGGUCGGAUUAGCUAGUUGGUGGGGUAAAGGCCUACCAAGGCGACGAUCCGUAACUGGUCUGAGAGGAUGAUCAGUCACACUGGAACUGAGACACGGUCCAGACUCCUACGGGAGGCAGCAGUGGGGAAUAUUGGACAAUGGGCGAAAGCCUGAUCCAGCCAUGCCGCGUGUGUGAAGAAGGUCUUCGGAUUGUAAAGCACUUUAAGUUGGGAGGAAGGGCAGUAAGUUAAUACCUUGCUGUUUUGACGUUACCAACAGAAUAAGCACCGGCUAACUUCGUGCCAGCAGCCGCGGUAAUACGAAGGGUGCAAGCGUUAAUCGGAAUUACUGGGCGUAAAGCGCGCGUAGGUGGUUCAGCAAGUUGGAUGUGAAAUCCCCGGGCUCAACCUGGGAACUGCAUCCAAAACUACUGAGCUAGAGCACGGUAGAGGGUGGUGGAAUUUCCUGUGUAGCGGUGAAAUGCGUAGAUAUAGGAAGGAACACAGUGGCGAAGGCGACCACCUGGACUGAUACUGACACUGAGGUGCGAAAGCGUGGGGAGCAAACAGGAUUAGAUACCCUGGUAGUCCACGCCGUAACCGAUGUCGACUAGCCGUUGGGAUCCUUGAGAUCUUAGUGGCGCAGCUAACGCGAUAAGUCGACCGCCUGGGGAGUACGGCCGCAAGGUUAAAACUCAAAUGAAUUGACGGGGGCCCGCACAAGCGGUGGAGCAUGUGGUUUAAUUUGAAGCAACGCGAAGAACCUUACCUGGCCUUGACAUGCUGAGAACUUUCCAGAGAUGGAUUGGUGCCUUCGGGAACUCAGACACAGGUGCUGCACGGCUGUCGUCAGCUCGUGUCGUGAGAUGUUGGGUUAAGUCCCGUAACGAGCGCAACCCUUGUCCUUAGUUACCAGCACCUCGGGUGGGCACUCUAAGGAGACUGCCGGUGACAAACCGGAGGAAGGUGGGGAUGACGUCAAGUCAUCAUGGCCCUUACGGCCAGGGCUACACACGUGCUACAAUGGUCGGUACAAAGGGUUGCCAAGCCGCGAGGUGGAGCUAAUCCCAUAAAACCGAUCGUAGUCCGGAUCGCAGUCUGCAACUCGACUGCGUGAAGUCGGAAUCGCUAGUAAUCGUGAAUCAGAAUGUCACGGUGAAUACGUUCCCGGGCCUUGUACACACCGCCCGUCACACCAUGGGAGUGGGUUGCUCCAGAAGUAGCUGGUCUAACCGCAAGGGGGACGGUUACCACGGAGUGAUUCAUGACUGGGGUGAAGUCGUAACAAGGUA
rnacentral:rRNA from 1 species